rnacentral:rRNA from 1 species
UAGUAGUAGGUUAGUACGUCCGUCGGCGACGACGGACGAACGCGUGGCGGCGGUGGUAGUAGGUCGAUGCAGUACGUACGGUAGUCAUCUUCGGGGUUGGAGAAGAGUGGCGAACUGGUGAGUAACACGUAGGUUAUCUACCCUCAAGACGGGGACAACCCAGGGAAACUUGGGCUAAUACCGGAUGUGAGCAACUUUUAGUUGUUUGAAAGGUGGCGUAAGCUGUCGCUUGGGGAUGAGCCUGCGUCCUAUUAGUUAGUUGGUGAGGUAACGGCUCACCUAGGCAAUGAUAGGUAGGCGGCCUUAACGGGUGGUCGCCCACACUGGGAUUGAGAUACGGCCCAGACUCCUACGGGAGGCAGCAGUCGAGAAUAGUCUACAAUGGUCGGAAGACUGAUAGUGCGACGCCGCGUGAACGAUGAAUCCCUUCGGGGUGUAAAGUUCUUUUAUAUGUGAGCAGUGCUUCUUAUAUUAACAGUAUGGGGAGAGAGAUAUUAGCAUAUGAAUAAGCAACGGCUAACUCCGUG